rnacentral:rRNA from 1 species
UACGUAGGGUCCGAGCGUUGUCCGGAGUUACUGGGCGUAAAGGGCGCGCAGGCGGCGGUGCUGGCCCGGCGUGAAAGCCCCCGGCUCAACCGGGGAGGGUCGUCGGGGACCGCACCGCUUGAGGGCGGUAGGGGCCGGUGGAAUGCCUGGUGUAGUGGUGAAAUUCGUAGAUAUUAGGAAGAACACCGGUGGCGAAGGCGGCCCACUGGAUCGGUACUGACGCUGAGGUGCGAAAGCGUGGGGAGCAAACAGG